rnacentral:rRNA from 1 species
CGCCUCCCCGUCGACGGUUUGGCGUCGCCGGGCCUCGACCUUUCCAGAGAGGCCUCUAAAGUCGCGAAACGACGUUCGAGGUGCGAACAGUUAGGAACCCACAAAACAUACAACAUUCGGAAUCCAACGCGUUCCACGCUGGCGACUCAACAUGAGAAUGUGUGAACCCUUUUUUUUUUUGAGCAACACCCUAAGUCUUCCGGCUGAGGGAUUAGCGCCGGCAAGGGUGAAAUUCAAACGGAUUCUACGGGGAACCCGCACCACACGGUGGAGCAUUUGUUAUAAUUUUAUGCAACGCGAAGAACCUAACCUGUCUUGACAUCCAUGGAACCUGCAAGAGAUGCGGGGGUGCCGUAGGGAACCAUGAGACAGGUGCUGCAUGGCUGUCGUCAGCUCGUGUGGUGAGAUGUUGGGUUAAGUCCCGCAACGAGCGCAACCCUUGUCCUUAGUUGCCAUCAUUUAGUUGGGACUCUAAGGAGACCGCCGGUGACAAACCGGAGGAAGGUGGGGAUGACGUCAAGUCAUCAUGGCCUUUAUGACCAGGGCUACACACGUGCUACAAUGGUAAGUACAGAGGGAAGCCAACGCGCGAGCGGGAGCUAAUCCCAGAAAACUUAUCGUAGUCCGGAUUGGAGUCUGCAACUCGACUCCAUGAAGUCGGAAUCGCUAGUAAUCGCAGAUCAGCAUUGCUGCGGUGAAUACGUUCCCGGGUCUUGUACACACCGCCCGUCACACCAUGGAAGUGUAUUGCACCAGAAGCAGGUAGCCUGACCGCAAGGAGGGCGCCUACCACGGUGUGGUCCAUGACUGGGGUGAAGUCGUAACAAGGUAAAUCGAAUUCCCGCGGCC